CCUACGGGAGGCAGCAGUGGGGAAUAUUGGACAAUGGGGGGAACCCUGAUCCAGCGACGCCGCGUGAGUGAAGAAGUAUUUCGGUAUGUAAAGCUCUAUCAGCAGGGAAGAAAAUGACGGUACCUGACUAAGAAGCCCCGGCUAACUACGUGCCAGCAGCCGCGGUAAUACGUAGGGGGCAAGCGUUAUCCGGAUUUACUGGGUGUAAAGGGAGCGUAGAGGGUGCAGCAAGUCUGAUGUGAAAGGUCGGGGCCCAACCCCGGGACUGCAUUGGAAACUGUUGAACUGGAGUACAGGAGAGGUAGGCGGAAGUCGUGGUGGAGCGGGGAAAUGCGUAGAUAUCAGGAAGAAGGCCGAUUGCGAAGGCAGCUGAAUAGACUGCAACUGACAUUGAGGCUCGAAAGUGUGGGUAUCAAACAGGAUUAGAUACACUAGUAGUC
rnacentral:rRNA from 1 species